rnacentral:lncRNA from 1 species
GCAUGGGAGAAGAUGGAGAGCCACCUCUCUUUCUUUUCUGUCUUUGGCAGGAGGGACAGUUGAACAAAAAUAUUAAGAUCAAGGUCAGUGACAGGAGAGCAAGCCAGACUGUCUGCUGUUGAUGACUAUGCCCAGGUCCAGUGGAAGUCUCUGCAGGAAGGGAAUAAGCAGCUGCCCAGCGAGGAGCAGAAGUACCCUGGGGGAAGAGCUCCUGGAGUGUGGGGCUGGCCUGGAAGAAAGAUAUGUCCUGCAAGCAUCAGGAGCUGUCAGUACAAGUUGUACACCUCCUCAGAAGAAGAGGGAGCUGACACAAUCAGCUCUCAAAGGAGUGGAAAGAAAAACUGAUGUUAGGGAGCCUGGGAAAGAAGAGUAGCAUUUAUUGCAAUCCAGAAAGUUACUGGAAUGAAAGCAAAGAAAGAGGACAGGAUCUGCCCUUCAGGGACACGGUAGCUCAGAGAUUCAGGUUCUUCCUCAUUCUAAGUUUCCUCUCCUGAAAAAGAUCAAAAAGACCAAAAUAUCAGACUUUGGACAAGUACUACCCCGGUACAAAAAAAGACAGGGGUCUCCUGGAAAGAGUCCAGCAGAGGGCCACAAAGAUGUACGGGGCCUAGAGCAUCUCCUCUAUGAGGAAAGGCUGAGGGACCUGGGUCUGUUCAGCCUUGAGAAAAGAAGACUGCAAGGGGAUCUUAUUAAUGUUUAUAAAUACCUGAAGUGUGGGAGACAAAGGGGUUUGGCCAACCUCUUUUCAGUGGUUUGCGGGGACAGGGCAAGGGGCAAUGGCCAAAAAAUGGAUCACAGGAAGUUUUGCACCAACAUGCAAAAGAACUUCUUCAUGGUGAGGGUGAUGGAGCACUGGAACAGGCUGCCCAGGGAGGUUGUGGAGGUACCUCCUUCUCUGGAGGUAUUGAAGACCUGUCUGGAUGCCUACCUGUGGACCUUCUUUAGGGAACCUGCUGUGGCAGGGAGGUUGGACCAGAUGAUCUCUUGAGGUCCC